UUCCUAGAGGCUAGGUCUCAAGUGUUUAAACACGGGCACUAGGCUCUCAAUGCCUUUUUCACGUGUUCCUAGAGGCUAGGUCUCGAGUGUUUAAACACGGGCACUAGGCUCUCAAUACCUUUUUCACGUGUUCCUAGAGGCUAGGUCUCCAGUGUUUAAACACGGGCACUAGGCUCUCAAUGCCUUUUUCACGUGUUCCUAGAGGCUAGGUCUCGAGUGUUUAAACACGGGCACUAGGCUCUCAAUGCCUUUAUCACGUGUUCCUAGAGGCUAGGUCUCAAGUGUUUAAACACGGGCACUAGGCUCUCAAUGCCUUUUUCACGUGUUCCUAGAGGCUAGGUCUCGAGUGUUUAAACACGGGCACUAGGCUCUCAAUGCCUUUAUCACGUGUUCCUAGAGGCUAGGUCUCAAGUGUUUAAACACG